rnacentral:rRNA from 1 species
ACCACGACUUCUCGACAAUGGAUAUCUUCGGCUCUCGUUUCGAUGAAGAACGUAGCGAAAUGCGAUACUUUGUGUGAAUUGCAGAAUCCCGUGAAUCAUCGAAUAUUUGAACGCAAGUUGCGCCCGAGGCCUAGGUCGAGGGCACGUCUGGCUGGGUGUGAUG